GUGAGGAAUUUUGCGCAAUGGGGGCAACCCUGACGCAGCGACGCCGCGUGGAGGACGAAGUCUUUCGGGAUGUAAACUCCUGUCAGUGGGGACGAUAAUGACGGUACCCACAGAGGAAGCACCGGCUAACUCCGUGCCAGCAGCCGCGGUAAGACGGAGGGUGCAAGCGUUGUUCGGAAUUACUAGGCGUAAAGCGUAUGUAGGCGGCAAGUUAAGUUCAAUGUUAAAGCCCACGGCUCAACCGAGGAGAUGCAUUGAAUACUGGCUAGCUAGAGGGUGUUAGAGGAAGACGGAAUUCCCAGUGUAGCGGUGAAAUGCGUAGAUAUUGGGAGGAACAUCGGUAGCGAAAGCGGUCUUCUGGGACAUACCUGACGCUGAGGUACGAAAGCGUGGGGAGCAAACGGGAUUAGAAACCCUAGUAGUCC
rnacentral:rRNA from 1 species